rnacentral:rRNA from 1 species
AGUGAACGCUGGCGGUAGGCCUAACACAUGCAAGUCGAGCGGCAGCACAGUAAGAGCUUGCUCUUACGGGUGGCGAGUGGCGGACGGGUGAGGAAUACAUCGGAAUCUACUUUUUCGUGGGGGAUAACGUAGGGAAACUUACGCUAAUACCGCAUACGACCUACGGGUGAAAGCAGGGGAUCUUCGGACCUUGCGCGAUUGAAUGAGCCGAUGUCGGAUUAGCUAGUUGGCGGGGUAAAGGCCCACCAAGGCAACGAUGCGUAGCUGAUCUGAGAGGAUGAUCGGCCACAGUGGGAAUGAGAGACGGUCCAGACUCCGACGGGAGGCAGAAGUAGGGAGUGUUGAGCCAUGCGCGCAAGACUGACGGAGCCAUGCCGCGGGAGGGAGGAAGGUCUUAGGAUCGUAACACUCUGUUAUUAGGGAAGAAAAUAAGGGAAAGUAACUGUGCACGUCUUGACGGUACCUAAUCAGAAAGCCACGGCCAACUACGUG